rnacentral:rRNA from 1 species
UGACCGCUGGCGGCGUGCCUAAUACAUGCACGUCGAGCGAACAGACGAGGAGCUUGCUCCUCUGACGUUAGCGGCGGACGGGUGAGUAACACGUGGAUAACCUACCUAUAAGACUGGGAUAACUUCGGGAAACCGGAGCUAAUACCGGAUAAUAUAUUGAACCGCAUGGUUCAAUAGUGAAAGACGGUUUUGCUGUCACUUAUAGAUGGAUCCGCGCCGCAUUAGCUAGUUGGUAAGGUAACGGCUUACCAAGGCGACGAUGCGUAGCCGACCUGAGAGGGUGAUCGGCCACACUGGAACUGAGACACGGUCCAGACUCCUACGGGAGGCAGCAGUAGGGAAUCUUCCGCAAUGGGCGAAAGCCUGACGGAGCAACGCCGCGUGAGUGAUGAAGGUCUUCGGAUCGUAAAACUCUGUUAUUAGGGAAGAACAAAUGUGUAAGUAACUAUGCACGUCUUGACGGUACCUAAUCAGAAAGCCACGGCUAACUACGUG